AACACCAGCGAGAAUUCGCAAACGUCGUCCGUUAUGGCGCACCCAGAGAUGCCUUUGAUAAACGGCAUCAUGAAGAGUAAGGUCCACAGGAAGAUCAGAAGGUUUCUCAUCCUGUAAUGGAAGAUUUCCCUGAUGUAGCCUGAACAGGCGAAAAUUUGAAUUAAAGAGGAUCUCUUAGUCCCUGGCAGUUUGGAAGAAGGAAGGAAGGAUGGAUAUGUUUUAUAUAACGACGCACUCAACACAUUUUAUUUACUGUUAUAUGGCGUCAGACAUAUGGUUAAGGACCACACAGAUAUUGAGAGAG